rnacentral:lncRNA from 1 species
CUACUGUGUGAAUUGAAGAGAGGACGUGUGUUUGUGAUGGAUUGAUGAGGGAAUGUGAGAGUUGAAGAGAGAAUGUGAGAGUUGAAGAGAGUGAAAAGUGCUUCUGAAAAUUGUAGUGAGGUUGGAGAUUUGUGAUUUUUGAUUCAUGAUCCCUGAUUGAAAUGUGAAGCUGCCAAUUUAUAGAUUCUGAAAAUCUGUUAGAGAUGCAACUCAAAUGCAUCUCAAAUUUGAAUGAAAGUCCAAUGAAUUAGUUAGAAAUUCAGAAUUCUGUUAGGGUGUAAAUGAGUGAGUUGGAAUGUGUUAGUUUGCAGAAUGUGAUGUUAUGUUAAUUAGCAAUUGAAAAUCAGUUAGUCUGUUUGCAAGAAUGUGAUGUGCAGAUUCAAUUGAGUGGUUAUGUAAUGCUAGCUUCCAUUUUUUCAACAUCUGCUAGUUACAGGGGGUAUGUUUUCCUUCUGUUAGAAAGUGUAGGUUGCAUUGGUUUAGUUUUCUGUCAUGCACCUCUCAUUCGAAUUACUUGGAAAACAUUAUUAGGCUGCUGUUGAAACAUAGGCUAAGUAUGGAACUGAAUUAUGGGAUUUGGACUGGAAUUGUGAUUGUGUAUUGAAUGACACUUUUGAAUUGUGUAGGGAAUAUGAAUCAUAUGAAUUAUGUGUAUGGAAUAUUUAUGUAUGGAAUGCCAAUGGUUUGAAUGGUUGGUUUAGUUUAUUGUGUAGGAAUCGUGUAUCCUUGAAUGGACUGAUGUAGAAAUGUUUAUUGCUUAUGAAUGUUAUACACUUGAAUGCUUGGAUUAUGUGGUUAGUUUGAAUUGUAUGGGAUUGUGUAUUGUAUGGCAUAUUUGAAUUGUGUUAUGGCUACUCCUUUGAAUGGUUGGAUUAAUGUGGAAAGUGUUAUGGAAUGUUUAUUUCUUAGUGUAUGAAGCUAACUAGUGAUGCAUUUUUUACAUGCCCUAUUAGUCAUUAGAAUGGCAAUGUUAUGUUAGGUCCAUUUAAGAAAAAAAAGUGAAUCUAAUUGGUGUCAAAUGUGAAUUUACAGGUCUUGCUUAGCAUGGAGAUUUGGUCAAGGAUGUGAUAUAAAAGCAUGAACCGAUAGACAUGGGCUUGAAGAUCAAGAUGAGGACUUAGGGAUGGAUGGUUGACUUUGGUCAACUAGUUGACCAAAACUUCAACAGUUGACCAAAGUCAACGGUAGGGUUUAGACUAGGGUUUUCUCUGUAUGUAAAAUGUAUGGACUUGUAAAAUGUACAUAGAUGACUUGUAACAUAAAAGAUCUUGAAUGAAUAAGACUUGGUUUUAAAUAAAACAUGACUUUCAUGACUAUGUUCAAAUAUACCUCCUUAAGCAAGAAUGAAUGCAUCUGAUUAAAUGGAUUAAAAUACAUGGAUGAAUCAAUAAUGAAUGGCCUAUAAUGCCUUAGGAAUCUCAAUGGAUCAAAUGACAAACCAAGGACCAAAUGACCAAUGCACCAAUGCAGUUAUGAACCAUGAAACCAUGACCAAAGACUUAUGAUCUUGAAAGCAUCAUAUGCUUAAAUGCUUGAACAAAACCUUGAACCAAAUGAAAUCCUAAGCAUAUAGGUAUGUAGGUCAAAUGGAUGAUUCUUAUGCAAAAAACAAGUCUAAUACAUGACAUGAUGAUUAAUAUAACGUCCAAUGACCUCCUCCCAAUGAAUUAACGUUUCAGCCCAUCCCAUGGUCAAAAGUAAAAUCAAAAUGGCACACAAGACCAGGCAUCCCUGAUUAGGGUUUCAUGAUGCACAUCCCCUAAUCAAGGUCUUAAAACUAAGCAUAAAGCUCCACGAUCAAUCUCCUAACACAUGGGCCCACAAUUAGGGUGUCAUGAUAAAGACACUGCUCUUAAGGUCAAACACAAGACCCCUUAAAGUCCAAAAUUAUGCUUUUGAUGCACAAAUGAAUGCCAAGUUGAGAUCUCCUUGAACCAAGGUCCCAAAGAUCAUGAAAUUAGGGUUUACCCCAAUGAUUACAUAUGAAGAGCCAUACCAACUCUCUAGGGCUUGAUCCGCAAGCAAACCCUAGCUCUUGUUAGCCACAAACUUUGAAUCUAUGAUGAUUAUUAACAAGUGUUAACAUGAAUGAAUGAUGUACAUGAAUGAGUACAAAUGAAUCUUAAGUCACAGGGUAGAUAAAAAAGAAAAGGGGAAGGCAAAUUUUGGGGUAUGACAGAGACGACGAAUGCUCAUGAAUAUAAAAGCCAGGCAAUGCACUAGUUAAUUGUUCUACCUCAAGAGUUAUACAUGGGAUAUUAGUCACAAUUACUAUCGGGGCAACCAUUAUAGUCGACACCUGGACCUCCAGAGUAUUGGUAAGAGUAAUAACUAGAGUCACUAGUAUGCGGCCAAACAAACUAGUUGUAAGACCAUGAUCCUUUGCAAAUGCGAGGGCCUUCUGCAGCUGAUCCAUGUUAUCUAUAAGGUACUAUUUACACCCUUUAGAAAAAGAAAAAGACGACCUAAAUCCUCGUCCUCACAAAAACGUUUUUGUCUCUCGGAACAACCAGGCACACUAAUAAUCGUGCAAGUAUCUAUUCGUUUCUUCUUUUACUGAAAAGAGAGUACUUUGCCUGGACCAAAUACUUUACCAUAUUCAAGCCCUCAAUACCAGACGCAUAAAUCCAGUUUCAUUCUCACCUCCUAUAAGGAUAGAGGAGUUAUCCCGAAAUGUUAAGAAGAAAGAGGCCGACGGAAGUGAAUUUUAGACCGGUACUUCAUAAAACCCCUACUUGGGCCAAAGACAAACAAAAGGAAAGAUGAGUCUCAUGAGUGAUAAGUUUCACCAGUAUGAAACAUUCCCAUAAAUUAUCCCAACCAGACGCAAAAUAGCCGAACCAAAAUACUUAGGAGUGAAAGGAGAUAAAUCUUUGAUCCUGGGCAUUACCCUGAGAAGUACGGGCCACAUAAAAAAGAUCGAAUAGGAUCCCCAGGAAAAGGUUCCAAGAUUUAUAUGUGGUGCAUAGUGGGAACACCUUAAUAAAAGCCCAAUCUCUGGGAUGAAGCUGCGAGGGGGAAACUUUCAAAUGAUCCAUGACGGGUACCUCAAAGUUAGAGAAGGGGAAACGUAUCCCCAACACUAUUACAAAUAACAAAUCUAAUGUUGGGUGCGAAAUGCAUUUAACCUCGGCUACACAUGAGAGAUAACGAAGGGCGACAUGAAAAAUAAUCACUUGUCACCUCGGUGUUUCUAAAACCGAGGUUAGAAAUUAAAAGGUCAUGGGUUCGAUCCCCAUCAACUGCAUAUCUUUUAUUUUCUAAAUUUUGUUGUGUGCAUCAUAUACCUCUUGGUUGUAUUUAAAGACCGAGGUUAUAAAUUAUUCAUUUACCUCGGUUUUAAGUAAUAGCUGAGGGAUAAAAUCUCAUUUUUUACCUGUAUCAUUUUCACUUCCUGUAUCUUUUUCAUUAGUAUGUAUAAUUUUGCCUGUAUCAUUUUCACUGACCUGUAUCACAUCAUUAUAAAUCUAUUAAUUAAUGAAUACCAGAUUUACAUUGUUUUAAAUCUUAGGAAAAACUGAAGGGAAGAAAAGGUACCUCGAAAUGUAAGGUCGGAGGCAGCAAAGAGAAAAAAGAAGUCUGAGUGUUAAAGCUUUGAAGCUUUGAAGUUUUGAAUAUGUAAUGUUUCAACAUCUUUAUUAUAUUGUCGACAGAUCUAGUCAUUGUCGCAUAAAACUCGACUAGUCCCUUUCUUUGCCUACAGUGAUAUGUUCUCCACAUAACUUUCAAAUCUUCAUCACUCUUUAGCUUAAUGUUAUUGUAUUUCACCUUUCCACCAGUAUCAAUCCAUGGUGCAUGAAACUUAAUCUUAC